rnacentral:lncRNA from 1 species
UGAGUAUUAAACCUAAAGACUCACACAUGCCAGGCAAUUGCUGUGCCACUGAGCUACAACCCCAGCCCCCUAGGGAUGCUGUUUUUUAACCUUUAUAAAUACACCAUGUUCCAGGGUUAGCUCUCUGGGACCUCCUGUGCUUGGCCCAGGUUCAAUCAACACCAACAUAAAUAAAUACAGCAUCUUCCUCUUGUAUCAUCGUUGGCGAUUAUACUGAGCAUUACCUCAUUUAAUCCACCCGACAAGCCUAUCAAGUGCAUUCUGCUAUCAUCCUGGUUUUUGGAUGUGUGUCACAGAGAAGUUCAGUAAUUUGCCAAAGGACACACAGCUUGUCUUCGGAGGAGGGGACCCAGACCUGGGCAGUCAGACGAGAACAUGCAGUGGCGGUUCUGCCAUCCCUUCUGCAGGAUGGUGACCUGGAGCACCUGGGGCAGUGGCUCAGGAUGCCAGGGCACAGGAGCCUCUUGCUCUUUCCUAGUCCCUCCACCAGAUCGUCUGGGGCAGCUCUUCCAAACCCUUUUCCCACUUUAAUCUGUGGCUCAUAAAGCCUUUUCCCAGGUGUGACCCACGGUGAAGUUUAAAGGAUUUCAUGUUGGGACAAAUCCCCCCAGAACGUGGAGCCAGGUAGGGAAUGCGUUCCGACAGAUCCAGUCUACAGGAGGCGGCCCGAGACUUCACGCAGGACUCUCCCCUCCUGGCCAAGCCCAGUUAUAAACACCAGUGUCUCCACGGCGAAGGGGACGAAGAAAUGGAGCCUGCGUCCAGCAGUGUGUGUGUGUGUGUGUGUGUGUGUGGUGCAUGUUGUGUGCAUGUGGUAUGUGCGAUGUGGGGGUGUGUGCUGUGUGUGCUGUGUGUGUGCUGUGUGAGGGUGUGUGUUCACAUGCACAUGCGUGAAUGUAAAGGUAGGAAAGUUUAAAGAGGUCAAAUGUCAACUUUCUUUUUCUUUUCCUUGGGCUCUUCUCUAAUCAUUCCGUUUUAAUGGCUCUUUUCUUUCAUCCUUCUUUGAAAGAGGAAGGAUUGAUUUGAGUGCCUUCUUCCUCCCCCUUCAUCCUUCCUGUCCCAACCCUGGGCAGGCUCUCUACUGGAGCAGGAUUUCUUCACCUCCUCUCUACUGAGGUUGGGGCUGGGUAGUUCUUGGUUGUGCAGAUCUGACCAGGGGGUUAUAGGUGUUUUGCAGGAUCCCUGGCCUCUGCCCACUGGAUACAGUGGGUUGCCACAUUGUACCUACCAAGAAUGACUUGCCACAGGAAUCCUGGGCGCUGCAGGGGCAAGUCACACCGCUGAGAAGCACUGUCAUGGCACCACGACACUUCCUUCCAUGUUUUGCCUUAUUUCGUGCCUGAACAUCGUCUCUGAGAUCUCGAGUCUUGAGACCGGAUAUGAGGUCUCCCCUGAUGGCCUCUCUGGUUUCCCAGCCCCUGGCCAUUUUAGCCCCCACCAGGAGACAGACAUCCCUCAUGCUCCCUGCUGACGCAAGGAGCAGACAACCUCGGGGUCCCAGUGUGGGAUGCUGGGGUGGGGACGGAGGCCUGUGCUGCCCUUGCUACCACCUGCUCUGCCGGCCUGGCGUGGCUCCUGCGGCCCUUCCUUGGCAAUUCAUGGGGACACAGGAGCCCCUCAGACGCCAUCCUAGCAGCUCCUCACAGAGAAGCAGCGUUGCGUCUCUGGUGGGAAUGACACACAGAGACACUCCUAAACCCAGCUGGACUUGGGGCCCGUGAGGCUCUGAUGUCAUUGCAGAAAAGACAAGUGAAGAACGCUAACUAGAAACCAGGCUCGGUGGUGCACACCUGCCAUCCCAGCCACCCGGGAGACUCAGGCAGGAGGAUGGAAAAUCUGAGGCCAACCUGGGCAACAUAGCAACACCCUGUCUCAAAAAAAAAAAAAAAUGCUGUCUAGAGAGAUUAGCUUUCUCUUUACUUCAUACACAUGUAUUUAUAUAUUUUUAUGUUUACAUAUUUUAUCUAUAUCUUAAUGAUGUAUGCAUUUAUGGUUAUGAAUAUGCAUAGUAGGAAAUUAUUGUUUCUAUUUUCUUAGAUCAAGUUAGAAAAAUUAGACAAGGUGGCCCGUGGCUGGCUUCUUGUUGACCUCCAACUGUGAAGUUCAAUGAUUCAAUAAUAGCAAUGCCUAACAUUUAUUGAGCACUUACUAUGUGCCUAAGUGUUCAAAGGCCUUGACUUGUGAUGUCUCAGCUCUUACAAGAGCUUUAAAAAGUGUUUAUCAUCACCAUCUGCAUUUUAUAGGACAAAAUAAGCUCAAAUUGGUCAAUUUACUUGACCAACCUCAUAUUUUUUUUUAUACAGUCAUUAAAAGAAGAUUCAAACUCAGGUGUUUCAUUCCCU